rnacentral:rRNA from 1 species
AGUACCGUGAGGGAAAGGUGAAAAGCACCCCGGAAGGGGAGUGAAAUAGAACCUGAAACCGUGUGCUUACAAGUAGUCAGAGCCCGUUAAUGGGUGAUGGCGUGCCUUUUGUAGAAUGAACCGGCGAGUUACGAUUUGAUGCAAGGUUAAGCAGUAAAUGUGGAGCCGUAGCGAAAGCGAGUCUGAAUAGGGCGUUUAGUAUUUGGUCGUAGACCCGAAACCAGGUGAUCUACCCUUGGUCAGGUUGAAGUUCAGGUAACACUGAAUGGAGGACCGAACCGACUUACGUUGAAAAGUGAGCGGAUGAACUGAGGGUAGCGGAGAAAUUCCAAUCGAACCUGGAGAUAGCUGGUUCUCUCCGAAAUAGCUUUAGGGCUAGCCUCAAGUGAUGAUUAUUGGAGGUAGAGCACUGUUUGGACGAGGGGCCCCUCUCGGGUUACCGAAUUCAGACAAACUCCGAAUGCCAAUUAAUUUAACUUGGGAGUCAGAACAUGGGUGAUAAGGUCCGUGUUCGAAAGGGAAACAGCCCAGACCACCAGCUAAGGUCCCAAAAUAUAUGUUAAGUGGAAAAGGAUGUGGCGUUGCCCAGACAACUAGGAUGUUGGCUUAGAAGCAGCCAUCAUUUAAAGAGUGCGUAAUAGCUCACUAGUCGAGUGACACUGCGCCGAAAAUGUACCGGGGCUAAACAUAUUACCGAAGCUGUGGAUUGUCCUUUGGACAAUGGUAGGAGAGCGUUCUAAGGGCGUUGAAGCAUGAUCGUAAGGACAUGUGGAGCGCUUAGAAGUGAGAAUGCCGGUGUGAGUAGCGAAAGACGGGUGAGAAUCCCGUCCACCGAUUGACUAAGGUUUCCAGAGGAAGGCUCGUCCGCUCUGGGUUAGUCGGGUCCUAAGCUGAGGCCGACAGGCGUAGGCGAUGGAUAACAGGUUGAUAUUCCUGUACCACCUAUAAUCGUUUUAAUCGAUGGGGGGACGCAGUAGGAUAGGCGAAGCGUGCGAUUGGAUUGCACGUCUAAGCAGUAAGGCUGAGUAUUAGGCAAAUCCGGUACUCGUUAAGGCUGAGCUGUGAUGGGGAGAAGACAUUGUGUCUUCGAGUCGUUGAUUUCACACUGCCGAGAAAAGCCUCUAGAUAGAAAAUAGGUGCCCGUACCGCAAACCGACACAGGUAGUCAAGAUGAGAAUUCUAAGGUGAGCGAGCGAACUCUCGUUAAGGAACUCGGCAAAAUGACCCCGUAACUUCGGGAGAAGGGGUGCUCUUUAGGGUUAACGCCCAGAAGAGCCGCAGUGAAUAGGCCCAAGCGACUGUUUAUCAAAAACACAGGUCUCUGCUAAACCGUAAGGUGAUGUAUAGGGGCUGACGCCUGCCCGGUGCUGGAAGGUUAAGAGGAGUGGUUAGCUUCUGCGAAGCUACGAAUCGAAGCCCCAGUAAACGGCGGCCGUAACUAUAACGGUCCUAAGGUAGCGAAAUUCCUUGUCGGGUAAGUUCCGACCCGCACGAAAGGCGUAACGAUUUGGGCACUGUCUCAACGAGAGACUCGGUGAAAUCAUAGUACCUGUGAAGAUGCAGGUUACCCGCGACAGGACGGAAAGACCCCGUGGAGCUUUACUGUAGCCUGAUAUUGAAAUUCGGCACAGCUUGUACAGGAUAGGUAGGAGCCUUUGAAACGUGAGCGCUAGCUUACGUGGAGGCGCUGGUGGGAUACUACCCUAGCUGUGUUGGCUUUCUAACCCGCACCACUUAUCGUGGUGGGAGACAGUGUCAGGCGGGCAGUUUGACUGGGGCGGUCGCCUCCUAAAAGGUAACGGAGGCGCUCAAAGGUUCCCUCAGAAUGGUUGGAAAUCAUUCAUAGAGUGUAAAGGCAUAAGGGAGCUUGACUGCGAGACCUACAAGUCGAGCAGGGUCGAAAGACGGACUUAGUGAUCCGGUGGUUCCGCAUGGAAGGGCCAUCGCUCAACGGAUAAAAGCUACCCCGGGGAUAACAGGCUUAUCUCCCCCAAGAGUUCACAUCGACGGGGAGGUUUGGCACCUCGAUGUCGGCUCAUCGCAUCCUGGGGCUGUAGUCGGUCCCAAGGGUUGGGCUGUUCGCCCAUUAAAGCGGUACGCGAGCUGGGUUCAGAACGUCGUGAGACAGUUCGGUCCCUAUCCGUCGUGGGCGUAGGAAAUUUGAGAGGAGCUGUCCUUAGUACGAGAGGACCGGGAUGGACAUACCUCUGGUGUACCAGUUGUCGUGCCAACGGCAUAGCUGGGUAGCUAUGUGUGGACGGGAUAAGUGCUGAAAGCAUCUAAGCAUGAAGCCCCCCUCAAGAUGAGAUUUCCCAACUUCGGUUAUAAGAUCCCUCAAAGAUGAUGAGGUUAAUAGGUUCGAGGUGGAAGCAUGGUGACAUGUGGAGCUGACGAAUACUAAUCGAUCGAAGACUUAAUCAA